rnacentral:rRNA from 1 species
GAACUACUAGGAUUCCUAUACGCGCCAAGGAAA